GAUGAACGCUGGCGGCGUGCUUAACACAUGCAAGUCGAACGGUGAAGGCGGAGCUUGCUCUGCUGGAUCAGUGGCGAACGGGUGAGUAACACGUGAGCAAUCUGCCCCUGACUCUGGGAUAAGCGCUGGAAACGGCGUCUAAUACUGGAUACGAGCUGCGAAGGCAUCUUCAGCAGCUGGAAAGAAUUUCGGUCAGGGAUGAGCUCGCGGCCUAUCAGCUUGUUGGUGAGGUAAUGGCUCACCAAGGCGUCGACGGGUAGCCGGCCUGAGAGGGUGACCGGCCACACUGGGACUGAGACACGGCCCAGACUCCUACGGGAGGCAGCAGUGGGGAAUAUUGCACAAUGGGCGACAGCCUGAUGCAGCAACGCCGCGUGAGGGACGACGGCCUUCGGGUUGUAAACCUCUUUUAGCAGGGAAGAAGCGAAAGUGACGGUACCUGCAGAAAAAGCGCCGGCUAACUACGUG
rnacentral:rRNA from 1 species